AAUCACUGAUAUACAAAUAUUUGUGCAUAUCAAUAGGAAACAACAAGUGAAUUGGUUGCGUUAAAGGAACAUUUCACAAAAUGGUAUCAUCAUUGAUACUGCUAAGUUGCAUGUUCAUGCUUGGGAUUUUAUUGCUGCAAUUUGACUAUUCCUUUAUGUGGUCUUGGAUUGAUGACCAGCUUUUCGGACAGGCGGCGACUGGCAUUCUUUACGAUGUGGAUGCAAACGUGGUGCACAUUGAUCGCACGACCGCAAGCUGGUCGAUGAUGUGGCUGGUCCUGAUGUUUUUCGGAACAGUCUUAGUAUACCAGUUCGGUAUGAUGGUGUUCUACCAAAUACGCGGCUUUCAGAUGUUGCUUCAUACUGGCGGACGAGACGAAAAUAACCAUCUAACUAAGGAAGCCAUAAAGAUUGUGAAAGAACUUCGGACCUCUAACGACGGGCCCCGUAUGAAGACUCUCCAAAACCUGACGCGAACCCGGAACCCUCGAAGACGGCUUCAACAAAAUAAAUGAU